rnacentral:rRNA from 1 species
UACGUAGGUGGCAAGCGUUAUCCGGAUUUAUUGGGCGUAAAGGGAACGCAGGCGGUCUUUUAAGUCUGAUGUGAAAGCCUUCGGCUUAACCGGAGUGGUGCAUUGGAAACUGGGAGACUUGAGUGCAGAAGAGGAGAGUGGAACUCCAUGUGUAGCGGUGAAAUGCGUAGAUAUAUGGAAGAACACCAGUGGCGAAAGCGGCUCUCUGGUCUGUAACUGACGCUGAGGUUCGAAAGCGUGGGUAGCAAACAGG